rnacentral:rRNA from 1 species
UCCUACGGGAGGCAGCAGUGGGGAAUAUUGGACAAUGGGCGCAAGCCUGAUCCAGCCAUACCGCGUGGGUGAAGAAGGCCUUCGGGUUGUAAAGCCCUUUUGUUGGGAAAGAAAAGCAGCCGGUUAAUACCCGGUGUCUGACGUACCCAAGAAUAGACCGACUCGA